rnacentral:rRNA from 1 species
GGAGGGUGCAAGCGUUGUUCGGAAUUACUGGGCGUAAAGCGCGUGUAGGCGGCUUGGUAAGUCGGGUGUGAAAUCCCAGGGCUCAACCCUGGAACUGCAUCCGAAACUGCCUGGCUAGAGUCCCGGAGAGGGUGGCGGAAUUUCCGGUGUAGAGGUGAAAUUCGUAGAUAUCGGAAGGAACACCAGUGGCGAAGGCGGCCACCUGGACGGUGACUGACGCUGAGACGCGAAAGCGUGGGGAGCAAACAGGAUUAGAUACCCUGGUAGUCCACGCCGUAAACGUUGAGUGCUAGGCGUCGGGGGUAUUGACCCCCCUCCCGGUGCCGGAGUUAACGCAUUAAGCACUCCACCUGGGGAGUACGGCCGCAAGGCUA